GACAGAGGUGCCGAGCGUUAGGCGGAAUCACUGGGCUUAAAGCGUGUGUAGGCGGGCCGUUAAGUGCCUUGUGAAAUCCCCCGGCUCAACCGGGGAACGGCUGGGCAGACUGGCGGCCUUGGGCCAACUAGGGGUCAUCGGAACAAGCGGUGGAGCGGUGAAAUGCGUAGAUAUCGCUUGGAACGCCCGCGGCGAAAGCGGAUGACUGGGGUUGUGCCGACGCUGAGACACGAAAGCCAGGGGAGCGAACGGG
rnacentral:rRNA from 1 species